CACCCUGCGGGACUGAAAGCCACUCCCACAGACUACAGUGCAUGCUCGCCACGCACUCGUACGCCACUGGACAUCACACAGAUAUCCUGGAACCUGUUUCACAAAGCAGGUUUAAUGUGUACACUGGAGAAAAAAAACCUGGAACCCCAUUAAGAGUUUCAUUGAAAUUUAACAUUCUCUUUUUGAUACUAAGGGACACAUUCUUAACCUCUUGAGCCCUACCCGAUUUUUGAGCUUUCUGCUCGAAAUGACAUACCCAAACUAAAAAGGGUUUAGCUCUGCAACCACAAAAGCUAUUUGAAUAAUGUUGGUGUGAUAAUAAAGGCAACACAUGUGAGCUUUU